rnacentral:rRNA from 1 species
AGUGAACGCUGGCGGUAUGCCUAACACAUGCAAGUCGAACGGCAGCACAGUAAGAGCUUGCUCUUACUGUUGGCGAGUGGCGGACGGGUGAGGAAUACAUCGGAAUCUACUUUUUCGGGGAGGAUAACGUAGGGAAACUUACGCUAAUACCGCAUACUACCUACGGGUGAAAGCAGAAGAUCUUCGGACCUUGCGCGAUUCAAUGAGCCGGUGUCGGAUUAGCUAGUUGGCUGGGUAAAGGCCCACCAAGGCAACGAUCCGUAGCUGAUCUGAGAGGAUGAUCGGCCACACUGGAACUGAGACACGGUCCAGACUCCUACGGGAGGCAGCAGUGGGGAAUCUUGGACAAUGGGCGAAAGCCUGACGCAGCAACGCCGCGUGGGUGAUGAAGGCCUUCGGGUCGUAAAACUCUGUUGUUAGGGAAGAACAGCAGUAGGUUAAUCUCUGGAUGUCUUGACGGUACCUAAAGAAUAAGCAACGGCUAACUACGUG